CCUACGGGAGGCAGCAGUGGGGAAUAUUGGGCAAUGGACGAAAGUCUGACCCAGCAAAGCCGCGUGAAGGAUGACGGCUUUCGGGUUGUAAAAUUCUUUUAAGGGGGAAGAGAAGAAGACGGUACCCCUUGAAUAAGCCACGGCUAACUACGUGCCAGCAGCCGCGGUCAUACGUAGGUGGCAAGCGUUGUCCGGAUUUACUGGGUGUAAAGGGCGUGCAGGCGGAAAGACAAGUCAGAUGUGAAAUCCACGGGCUCAACCCGUGAACUGCAUUUGAAACUGUUUCCCUUGAGUGUCGGAGAGGUAAGCGGAAUUCCUAGUGUAGCGGUGAAAUGCGUAGAUAUUAGGAAGAACACCAGUUGCGAAGGCAGAUUACUGGACGAUAACUGACGGUGAGGCGCGAAAGCGUGGGGAGCGAACAGGAUUAGAUACCCUGGUAGUC
rnacentral:rRNA from 1 species